UGGACUAAUGAUGACAGGGUAUCAUGAACCAAGAAAUAUGAUUUCUCUAAUUUUGUGCAACUGAAGUACAAC
rnacentral:snoRNA from 1 species